UACGUAGGGUGCGAGCGUUGUCCGGAGUUACUGGGCGUAAAGCGCGCGCAGGUGGUUCACUAAGCCCGGCGUGAAAGCCCCCGGCUCAACCGGGGAGGGUCGUCGGGGACUGGUGAACUUGAGGGCGGCAGGGGCUGGUGGAAUCCCCGGUGUAGUGGUGAAAUGCGUAGAGAUCGGGGGGAACACCCGUGGCGAAGGCGGCCAGCUGGGCCGUCCCUGACACUGAGGCGCGAAGGCGUGGGGAGCGAACGGG
rnacentral:rRNA from 1 species